rnacentral:rRNA from 1 species
UUUGCCUACACAUGCAAGUUGCACGGCGCCAUGCCUCUCGAGGAAUGGCGGAGUGGCGGACGGGUGAGGAACGCGUAAGGACCUGCCCCUGGGAGGGGGAUAACAGCUGGAAACGGCUGCUAAUACCCCAUAUCCUGAGGAGGGAAAGGAGAGAUCCGCCCAGGGAGGGGCUUGCGUCUGAUUAGCUAGUUGGGGGGGUAAUGGCCUCCCAAGGCAACGAUCAGUUGCUGGUCUGAGAGGAUGAUCAGCCACACUGGGACUGAGACACGGCCCAGACUCCUACGGGAGGCAGCAGUGAGGAAUCUUCCGCAAUGGGCGAAAGCCUGACGGGGCAAUGCCGCGUGGAGGAUGAAGGCCCAAUGGGUCGUAAACUUCUUUAGAUCAGAGACGAAGAGAUGACGGUACCUGAAGAACUAAGCAUCGGCUAAACCCCGUGCCAGCAGCCGCGGUAAGACGGGGGAUGCGAGCGUUAUCCGGAAUGAUUGGGCGUAAAGGGUCCGCAGGUGGCCCGGUCAGUCCGCUGUCAAAACCUGGGGCUCAACCCUGGACAGGCGGCGGAGACCACUGGGCUUGAGUCCGGUAGGGGCAGAGGGAAUUCCCGGUGGAGCGGUGAAAUGCGUAGAGAUCGGGAAGAACGCCAAGGGCGAAGGCACUCUGCUAGGCCUGAUUUCGCGACUGACACUCAGGGACGAGAGCCAGGGGAGCGAAUGGGAUUAGAUACCCCAGUAGUCCUGGCCGUAAACGAUGGAUACCAAGCCCUGCGCGUAUCGACCCGGGCAGGGCUGUAGCUAACGCAUG